GGCCCACUGCAGUACGCAGAGAGCAACACUGAAAACCGCCCAAGGGUUCGUGGGAAUAAAGAUGGGGAUAGAAGGGGCGGAAGAGCAGCAGCGAUUUAUGGUGCUGGUGGAGUACUUCAUGUAGUCCAUGGAAAAGAAGAACGGACGGCAGUUUUAGCAUUGCAGUUUGUGGGAGCUCGUAGAGUAGGAGAAAAGUUAUUGUCUGUAAUGUGUUCGUUCUAUUGUCACGGUGUCAAUAUAUGCUCAUCUGAGUCAAAAGGAAGCUCAAGAUGCGAUUUUGAUGCUUCGAGAAAGAUUUUUUCCCUUUCUCCCUCCAGAAAAAGCUGAUUUGUGAGUGCAUUAGGAGGACUUAAUUGCUGGCAAUUUUUUGUUCCUCCCAGUUGAAGGCAUCGACAUGAGAUCAGCUGGUUGUAAAACAUAACAAUAGAAAAAAAGAGCUAGAGAUAUUGUCAGUUGUUAUGAAUUAUGAUCAAAUGCUUAAGUUUUAUUAUGAUUGGAAUCAAAUUUAUAAAUAUUGAUUAUCUAAAGGCUGGAUCAAGAAAGUCCGAUAACUUUUGAAA